rnacentral:rRNA from 1 species
UACGGAAGGCAGCAGUGGGGAAUAUUGCACAAUGGGCGCAAGCCUGAUGCAGCCAUGCCGCGUGUAUGAAGAAGGCCCUCGGGUUGUAAAGUACUUUCAGUCGUGAGGAAGGUGUUAAGGUUAAUAACCUUAGCAAUUGACGUUAGCGACAGAAGAAGCACCGGCUAACUCCGUGCCAGCAGCCGCGGUAAUACGGAGGGUGCGAGCGUUAAUCGGAAUUACUGGGCGUAAAGGGCACGCAGGCGGUUAAUUAAGUUGGAUGUGAAAUCCCCGGGCUUAACCUGGGAAUGGCAUUCAAGACUGGUUAGCUAGAGUCUUGUAGAGGGGGUAGAAUUCCAUGUGUAGCGGUGAAAUGCGUAGAGAUGUGGAGGAAUACCGGUGGCGAAGGCGGCCCCUGGACAAAGACUGACGCUCAUGUGCGAAAGCGUGGGGAGCAAACAGGAUUAGAUACC